rnacentral:lncRNA from 1 species
AUGCUGCUGGAAGCAGGAAUUUCCAUCCACACUCCCGACUCCUUUUCCUACUGUGCAGAAUUUGCCAGCUGUCUGGCUGGAGAGAGAAUGGUGAGAAAAACCCAGCAGAAGAGUGUGAAUCCCAGGGAGACUUGUAUUCUGUCAUUGUGAAGACCUAGAAAAUAUCACAAGUUCUGCUGAGAUACGGAUCACCCAUGCUGCAGCACUUAGGUUCUGGUGUUGCGGAGCAGAGCUGCGUGUUCCCUCUGAGCCACUUCGUGUGAGGAAGAAGCCCUAAAGCACGGAUUUUGGGCAAGUUCACUGGUUUUGUUACGAAUUUUUUAUUUUGGGGUCAUUCUCCAGCAUUUUGUGAAGGAGAAAAAUUUUCACACGUUUUACUUCCCAGCUCUUUCCCUCCUCGAAGCCCCCUUCGCCCCAGCAGCCCCCUGAGGGGGCGAUAACGGAGGUGACUGAGGGGGUCCC